rnacentral:rRNA from 1 species
AUGCAGAACCUCAUCUUUGAGGGCGGUGUGCCGGCCACUGGCUAUGAUCCCGACGAGACACAAAGCCAGGACGGUCGUGGGCUGUUCACGCCGGCCGCUGGCUAUGAUCCCGACCAGGCGUCCUUCCUGCGUGAUCAGGUCGGCAUCGACCUGGACGGCUUCCCACUCGACCACGAGUUCCCGGACGACUACGGGCUAGAGGAAGAGGACGAGUGUGACAUCGAAGUGCCUUUGCUCGAGGACGAGCUCGCCAACCAAGCCGCCGUUCCUAAGCCGAAGUGCAAGAGCAAGCUCACGAAGUCAUACACGGCUGCCGAGGACAAGCUUCUUUGCGAGUGCUGGUGAGACAUUGGACAAGACCCCAAGACGGGCGUCGAACAAAAGCAUUCAACCUUUUGGAUUCGUGUCCAUCGAGAGUUUCAUGAGCGCAAGAAAUUUCCGCCUUACCAAUUUGUGAGCACGCGUGGGUGGGUGUCCAUUUCCAAGCGAUGGAGGGUGAUACAACAAGAGUGCAACAAGUUUUGUGCCACUCUUGAGAGCGUCAAGGCCCGUCCCGUGAGCGGCAUCGGCAUGCAAGACAUGGUAUGCUAG